rnacentral:rRNA from 1 species
GACGAACGUUGGCGGCGUGCUUAAUACAUGCAAGUCAACUGAAGCAGUGGUAGCAAUAUCGCUGUGGAGGUGGCGCACGGGUGAGUAACACGUAGGUAAUCUGCCUUCAGGUCUGGCAUAGCUCCGGGAAACCGGGGCUAAUAGCAGAUGAUGCAGCGGCUCGACAUCGAGACAGUUGUUAAAGCUAUGGCGCCUGAAGAUGAGCCUGCGUCUGAUUAGCUAGUUGGCGGGGUAACGGCCCACCAAGGCAACGAUCAGUAGCUGGUCUGAGAGGAUGAUCAGCCACACUGGAACUGAGACACGAUCCAGACUCCUACGGGAGGCAGCAGUAAGGAAUAUUGCUCAAUGGGAGAAAUCCUGAAGCAGCAACGCCGCGUGAGGGACGAAGGGCUUUUGCUUGUAAACCUCUGUAGUGAGAGAAAAAAAUCCCAAUCUUUGGGACAUGAUGGUAUCUCAAAAGUAAGCCCCGGCUAACUACGUG